rnacentral:tRNA from 1 species
GCCCUUGUAGUGCACAUGGUUAAGCACUUGGCUGCUAACUGAAGGGUUGGUGGUUCGAAUCCACCCAGUGGCU